rnacentral:rRNA from 1 species
GACGUAGGGCGCGAGCGUUGUCCGGAUUUAUUGGGCGUAAAGAGCUCGUAGGCGGCUUGUCGCGUCGAAUGUGAAAUUUUAGGGCUCAACCCUGACAUUGCAUUCGAUACGGGCAGGCUUGAGUUCGGUAGGGGAGACUGGAAUUCCUGGUGUAGCGAUGAAAUGCGCAGAUAUCAGGAGGAACACCGGUGGCGAAGGCGGGUCUCUGGGCCGAUACUGACGCUGAGGCACGAAAGCGUGGGGAGCAAACAGG